rnacentral:tRNA from 1 species
GGUGGUGUGGUCUAGUGGUAUGACGUCACGUUGUGGUUGAGAAGAGUUCUCCUUCACGCAAAACCGUGCCAGCCUGGGUGUACGUAGUUGUGCAGUCGAUUCCCAGCACCGCCA